rnacentral:sRNA from 1 species
AUGUACUACGCGUGCACUGCAGUUCCUCUGCGCAGUCCGCCCCCACCUAACGACUGCUCGCUACGUUUCGCUAGCC